UGGAGCGUGUGGUUUAAUUCGAUGCUACACGAAGAACCUUACCCAGGCUUGACAUAGCAGUGAACGAUCGCGAAAGCGUGAGGCUCCUUCGGGACACCGUUACAGGUGCUGCAUGGCUGUCGUCAGCUCGUGUCGUGAGAUGUCCGGUUAAGUCCGGUAACGAGCGCAACCCUCACUGUGUGUUAUAUGUGUCACACGGGACUGCCGGUAUCAAGCCGGAGGAAGGUGGGGAUGACGUCAAGUCAGCAUGGCCUUUAUAUCUUGGGCA
rnacentral:rRNA from 1 species